GUGGGGCAUGCUGGGACUUGUAGUUUCCCUCUGGGGGGGUCGCCUGAUUGGUUGUGAGAGUUCAGCGCCCUGGGUCCUGCGCCCUCCGUGGAAGCUCCUCCCAGCCUAAUGAUGGAGGCUGGGCAACCAGCACAGUGUUCAGGGUGCUGGGGUUCAUACGUAUUGAAAUCCCAGAGUAGUGGCGGACUUCCCCAUGGGAAUGUCUGAUGAGUACUUUGAAUCACAGAUCUCUGUACAGGCCCUGUUACAAAUGCCACUCCUCAGGGCAUUUCGUGUGUUUUCCUUUGAGGGCUCUUGGGACUUGUAAAUUCAGUUCAAUUCACCUUCUGAGGAAUGGGCCCUGACAAGCUGAAGUCUGAGGUGCUGCUGCUGCUGCAGAUCUGGGAACCACACUUUGAGAACCACUGAACAAGACAUUAUGUCAUUGGUCCCUAUUAAAAAAAAGAAAGCCAUCUUCAAAUGAUCUUCACACUGGCAGAGCCAUAAGCUGCGAUGGAACCUAACCUCUGUGCCCCUUCAAUGUGGAACAUGUGGUCAUCAAAGAAGAUGUGGGGCCGGAUCUUCACCAAGAUGGGACUUUUGGGGGCUCCAGCAAGGAAAAGAGCUUCGUCUAUCUCUAGACCCCAGCGUCGAAGGGUCUUCAGCACACGGGCGCCUGAACUGGCUGCACUCCUAGCUGUAACCAGGUAGGUCCUGAUAGGACAAAGUAACCGUUCAUUUUUGGCAUAGAACUUCUUUUGCAGUCUGCCUAAAUCUUCCAGAAAGCCUUUUAGGGGACCCUGUAAAAGGAACAUAUAUCACAGCUGUGAUACAGUGAGCCAAAGAAAGUGAAUGCUAAAAAGCAGAGACCUAUAUGAUACGAUACAAUACAAAGGAUAUAAUACAGCAUGACAUGCAGUGUUAUGAAGCUGAUGGCAAAAUGCUAAAACUUGAUAGGAAUUUAUGUGAAUAUGUUUUCUGAUAUAGAACCAUCCUUGCAUUCCUGGAAUGUGCCUAAAAUGACCAUAUUAUUUAACAUGUAAACCUAUAUACUUUAGGUAUGAAAGAAUGUUCAAUAAAUACUUAAGCCAGGACAACAGACAUAAACUAUCCAUGGUAAGCUGGAAUAGAGGGUCACUCUAAAUAAACUCUAAUUAGUUACCAAAGCACUACUCUUUUAAUUUGCUUUUUGUGAAUUGUGCAUUUUAACUUUAUGAAGUAUAUGCUUUUGUCUAGUUUAAUGCUGUUUGGCUUGAAUCUAACUGUGUCUUUCAUUUUUAACCUUUCCAAACACUUGGUUUUAGUAUCUCUUGUACAGAGCCUAGAAUUGGAUUUUGCUAUGUGAUACAACCUGAAAAUCUUAUUUUUUAAAACAAUAGUUAAGUUUUUGUUCAUUUACAUUUAUUCAUAUUACAAACAUACUUGAGAUUGUUUCUGUCUUAUGGUUUUUAUUGCAUUUUCCAUGUUUUAAAAUUUUUAAAGGAUUGUUCAAUA
rnacentral:lncRNA from 1 species